UUUUCUUCUUUUUUUUUUGGUUAACCCCUCUACAAUUAUCAUCCAAAAUAAUUCUUAAACUAGUUUGGGGCAAAUCUAAAAAGUAAUAUCCCAUCUCCUACUCCAGACUUUUUCUGGCUAACCAAUCUGCUGCAACGUGUUGGAUUCUUACUUGCCAAUCUUUGCUUAGCCAAAACUUAAUAUUCCUUAUGAGAUUGUUGAAAUGAGAAGGCUUUCCAUUUCUCCUUCCAAUACUAUCAAUUACUCCCUUUGAAUCAGACUCCAAUAUAACUCGCCUGCAACCUAAUUUCCAAAUAGUUUGAAGACCGUGGAGCACUCCCCAUAAUUCCGCCUGAAAAGUUGUACAAUUUUCCAAAUUUGCACAAAAACCAGCCACCCAACGACCUAAUUCAUUUCUAAUUACCCCACCACAAGCUGCUAGACCCAGGUUUCCGGCAGAAGACCUGUCUGUAUUAAUCUUAAGCCAACCAGCAUCAGGAGGUUCCCAUCCUAUGUUCACAUUCAUCACCUUAGGGACCAGUCUCAUCAAAUUCCUUCUUUCAAAGGAUUCUUCAAUCAACUUGAUCUGGGAUUCAAUAACCGGCCAAGGUGAAUUGGGUGUGUUGGACGACUAUUAAAAAUUUUCUGAUUUCUCCAUCUCCAUAACCACCAGCAAGUGACUAUGAACUUGAUUAUCCAAGAAGUUUGGUUAUUGCGUGUGGCCGAUUUCAAAGGUUAGGUUCCAUCUGAUCCAGACCUCGAAAGGAGCUCUAAAGAAUUCCUGGAGAUAGGAAGGGUGGAUGAUUGAAGAUCAUACUCUGGAAGCUGAGGGAAAAUCUCUUAAAAUGUGAAUUUGAGUUUCCUCAGUCCUGUAGCAUUUAUGGCAGUAAGGAGAUGCCCCAAAAAUUCUAGCCUUUCUUUGCGCUGUCAUUAACUUCUUGUGCACUACCAUCCACAUGAAGUACUUGAUUUUCUGAGGACCCUUCCAUCCCCAUAUAAUGGCCCACACCGCAUUCUGGGGUUCAUUGAUGUUGGCUAGCUUAUAGUAAGCACUUGCCACUAAAUACUCUCCACAAUUGGUUAGUUUCCAUAUGAUUUUAUCCUCUCCUAAUUCAUGCAUAGAGGGAUGUACUGUUCCAAUUUUUCUGACAAUAUCCUCUAGAAGGAAUUUUUGAAGAAGAACCCAGUCCCAAUCCUGGUCUUGCGUGGUAGCUUCUGCUAUUAUGAGAUUUCUCAUGUGCGAAGGGAUUGCGAUCAAGGCUUUCUGUUCCAAUUCCCUCUCUCCUUCCACCCACUCAUCUUUCCACAAUUUGAUUUUUACUCCAUCCCCAAUCGAAAAGAAAAUAUUUUAGGUAAAAGAACUCCAGCAUUUUGAGAGGUUUUUCCAGAACCCUGAGUCCAUCGAUUUGCAUUCAACUGAAUGGAUGAGAUUGUGUCCCCUACCAUAUUUUCCAUAGAGAACUUUUGCCCGUAAUGUUUCUUUCUCUGUGAUUAGUCUCUACCAAAUCUUGCCCAUGAAGACUUCGUUUAUCAAAAUCAAGUUAUGAAACCCCAAUCCUUCUAACCUUUUUGGUUUGCAUAAAGUGCUCUACCCUACAUUGUGGUAUUUACGUUCUCCCUGUUUUUCUCCCUAGAUGAACUGCCUCUGCAUCUUUUCCACCUCAUGACACACACCUUUGGGGAGCUGGCAGUGCAUCAUGCAAUAAUUUAAGGAGGGUGAGAUAACGGAUUGAGCCAAAGUUACUCUUCCUGCAAAGAUAAGGCAAUUUGCCUUCCAACCACUAAAUUUAUUUUUCAAUCUGUCUAUAGCUCCCUUGAAGUUCUCUUUCAUUAUCUUCCCAUUGGUUAUCAUUGCCCCUAAGUAUUUUUUGAGGCUGGGCAUGUCUUUAAAAUCACUUGUUCUUGUAAUGUCUUCCCUCAGGCUUUGCUCAACAUUCUUUGAAAAAAUCACUGAGGUCUUCGCUGCAUUAACCUUUAACCCUGAGGCCUGGCAGAAUUACUCUUAGGUGUAAAGGAGUUUGUUCAAUUGAUUCUUGGAUGCCUCAGCAAAUAGAAGCACAUCAUCUGCAAAGAGCAGAUGGGAGAUAGAGGGCCCAUCCUUUCCUGCCCUUAAGGGUAUCUAAUUCCAAGCAAUAACUUCUCCUUCAAUAAGGUACCCUCUAACACUUGAUUUCUUGUGGUUUUGGCAUCCAAAACUGUUGGGUAAGCUUGAUUAUUGUGAGUUUGGAGCUUAUUGGUGCUUGUUGGAGUUACAUUGGAAGCUUGGAUUAUGUUGGAAAGCUUGUUGGUGAUUAUUGUGGGCUCAAUUUUGAGUUUUGGCAUAUUGGGAAUUGGCCAAGGUAUGAUUUCGGUUUUCUCUAUGUAGUAUAUAAUAUUUAUGGACACUUAGGCUAGUGACCUAUAGGAUAGGUUUGGAAAUUUAUAUGUUGUUGAUGAUUGUUUGGGUUGAUGAUGUAUAAUGAAUUGAUGUUGUUGUUGUGGUUAAAUGAUGAAGUUGAGAUAUGAUGGAAUUGGAUGAAUGAACAUUGUUGAUUAUUAAUAUGAAUCAUGGUUGUGUUGAUGAUGAGAAUUGAUAGUGAUGUAAUGAUGAUUGGUAGAUAUGUGAUAGAUGUGAUAUUGAGGUUGAGAAUAAUAUGUGGAGGAAAAUGUGAUAAGAUUGGUGUAAUAUGACACAAAGGGUUGAUUUUGAUGAAAAAUGGGAGUUUGGUAUUGUUUUGGUUGGAUGUGGUUUGAGGAUUUUGGAAAAUUUGGUAAAGUGUGAUUUUUGGUAAAAGUUAGUUUUUUGGUGAACUUUGUCUGAUAAUAACUUUUGUCUCAAUUUUUAAAAUUAGUUGAAAUUUGUUGGAGAUUAAAGCUUAUUAAAAACCCUUCAAAUCGAUAUAAAGUUUGUAAAAUUUGAGUUUUUGUAGAGGGAGUUAUGAUCAUUCAAAGAUUGGUGUAAAAAUCUGAAAUUUUGCAAAGUUACAGAAG